CAACGAAUUACCAAAUCAAUCAAAAAAAAAAUUAUUAGAGAUUAUCGAAAGAAUGCUAGAAAACCCAAAAUCCAACAAAUUGAAACAUGAGAAAAGAAAUAGAAAAUGAACUUGUAUGCAGAUAGAAAUUGGAGGAAGAAGGCAGAGAUAGUCUCUCUCUCUCUCUCUCCCCCCCUCCCCUCUCUGCGUAUAAUAUUUGGGCAUUUUGUGACUUUUCCAUCAAAAGUAGACGGACAUCAAACCAUCGCCGUGUCUAAGUAUUGAUGGGCAUACCUUGAAGAGCAAUUGAAGAAGAACACAAAUAAUUCAAAUCAAUGUAAACAAUUAUUUCGUAAAAAUGCAGAAAAACAUCAACGAAUUACCAGAUCAAUUGAAAAAAAUAAGUACUUUUUUAGAGAUUAUCAAGAGAAUGCUAGAAAACCCAAAAUCCAACGAAUUGAAACAUGAGAAAAGAAUCGGAAAAUGAACCUGUAUGUAGACAGAAAUUGGAGGAAGAAUGUAGAGAUAUUCUCGCUCUCUCUCUCUCUCCCCGCCUCUCUCGCUGCGUAUAAUAUUUGGGUAUUUUGUGACUUUUCCAUCAAAAGUAGAUGAACAUCAAACCGUCGCCGCACCUAAGCAUUGAUGGGCAUACCAUGAAGAACGAUUGA
rnacentral:lncRNA from 1 species